CGUCAACGCAAGGAGGUAAGCCGAUGGGACUCACACAUUCCUUGAAUGUUCUGAUGAUCAGUGCAGCAUUCCUCUUCGUCGCAACGAUGAUCUUCAUCUAAGGCGACCAAAGCGAAGCAGAGAGAGGCCAGGGACAAGAUCAAGAAACCCUGCCGAAGCUCAUUAUAGAAAUGCAUGGCCCCGGAGACGGCGCCAUGCAUUUU
rnacentral:sRNA from 1 species